AGCGAACGCUGGCGGCAGGCCUAACACAUGCAAGUCGAACGAACCUUUCGGGGUUAGUGGCGGACGGGUGAGUAACACGUGGGAACGUGCCUUUAGGUUCGGAAUAACUCAGGGAAACUUGUGCUAAUACCGAAUGUGCCCUUCGGGGGAAAGAUUAAUCGCCUUUAGAGCGGCCCGCGUCUGAUUAGCUAGUUGGUUGAGGUAAUGGCUCACCAAGGCGACGAUCAGUAGCUGGUCUGAGAGGAUGAUCAGCCACAUUGGGACUGAGACACGGCCCAAACUCCUACGGGAGGCAGCAGUGGGGAAUCUUGCGCAAUGAGCGAAAGCCUGACGCAGCCAUGCCGCGUGAAUGAUGAAGGUCUUAGGAUUGUAAAAUUCUUUCACCGGGGACGAUAAUGACGGUACCCGGAGAAGAAGCCCCGGCUAACUUCGUG
rnacentral:rRNA from 1 species